rnacentral:lncRNA from 1 species
CUAGCCAAAAAUUGCAGAAGUAACAUAAUGAAGCGUUUAAGAUGCCGCUAGGCAUAUGCAAUACAAACUCUCGAACUGAAACAAUAUUUCCCAAACCCGGAAUCUCAUGAAAUCACAAGCUAUUGGAUAACUACAAGUGACUAACUCCAGAAUGUCUAAACAAAAUUAAAUACAGAAGGGCUGAUACUAUAAGGGAGAAUGGAAAGGAACUCCUCGGUCUGCGGACGCGGUAGAUAUACCUCAAAGUCUCUAGAGAAUCGCCUCGCCUCAAGGGUAGUAGGGCUGAGUCGAAGUACUUGGAUCUGCACAUGAAAAACAUGCACAGAAAGGGCAUGAGUACACCAUAACAGUACUCAAUAAGUGCCAAGCCUAACCUAGGUCGGGUAGUGAUGAGAAAAGUCAGGGCCCUACUAAGUUUAGAUGAAAAACAAGGUAUAACAAUACAGAAUAAGACAGUAUAAUUAAGUGCAGAUAGUAAGAAGUAACACAGGAUAGUAAGAACAACAACAACUACAAAAGAGACAAAAUAUUCACAAAAGGAAUACAGCUCAACACAGAGAUAACAUCCGGGAUCUCCCAGGAUACCGUCGUGUAGUCUCAAAUAUAAAUAUCUAGUAGAUCUCCCGGGUGUCGUCCCGUUGUUCAACUCAUAAUGCGCGUGGAUCUCCCGGAAUACCGAUCCAUAGUCCCAAAUAUAAAUAUUCGGUACUGGGGGAAUGUACCUAGUGCAGUCCCUAUCACACCCUUUUUUUAAGGUGUGUUAGGGCACCUAUUUACAAAUAACUCUGUUUUAACUAGUCAAUGUCGCCAAAGAUCGGGUAAGGGCUCAAAUUACCUCAAAAAGAAGGUGUUAAGCACUCUCUGAGGUCCACAACUAUGGUUCCCGAACGAAUUUAAACUAUGUGGGAUUAUUGAAUUAAACUAGGUUGUAGGUUGCUAAGUUGUGAAUUAAUCCUAAGUGGUCAAGUAUAUACAUCAAUUCAAAGCAAUUAGUUAAAACUAGUCAUGGAAAAAAUAUAAGAAUUGUAAAUCGUAGAAAGCCUACUUAGUUACAUAAAAGGGGGACCUAAAUUUUUAAGCCUGAUGGAUCAACUCUCGUGCAAAGUCUGCUAAGACUUUUAUAGCCAAUAGUGCUAAGGAUAUUAGGGCAAUUUGUGUAUCAUGUCCGCUACUUUCAUUACUAUCUUUGAGUUGUUAACCUAAGAGCGCACUAAUUAAUUCUAAAUCACGUCUCAAUUCAAAACUACCCGUCCCUUCCUAUAGUCCAGGAGGCUUUGGACACUAUUCUAAAGGGAUGGUUCUAGACUUAAAGAAAAUCUCAAGUUUCUAUUUCUAUUCUUAUUAGCGUCACAUAAAAGGAAGCACAUUAGGACUUAAACAAGUAACACAUAAGGCAAGUAAGGGCUCAUGUUGACCUCCGAAUUAAUUAAGAAGUCGAUAUUUUAAAUUUCUUGAUACAAUACCCGAACAAGAUGAGAGAACUAAAUAAAAGUUGUGAAAGAAACCAAUGUAGAAAUGGUCAAAGGACUAGACUUCCGAUUUAUUCCCUAACUCUUGCAAGAGAGAGGUAUUAUAAGUUAGCAUGCUUGGAUUCUUUCAUUUGAAGUUAGCCAAAAUAGGAAAAUAGAAGAGUGUCUUCUGGAAUAGGCAAAAGUCCAAAGGUUUGAGCAAAACAUUAUAAAUAGAGAAAGGAUAAAAAUUUGAAAAGAAACACGUUUGAGCAAAGCAUUGCUAGUAGAGAAACGAUAAAAAUAUUGAAAAGAAACGUGGCUGAUAUAGCACUAUAUUUAGAAGGUUUAACAUACUUUUCAGAGCCGAUGAUACUACACGAAAUUAUUAUUAGAAAAAUAAAUAGAGGUAUGCAAGGCAAAAAUCUGAUUCAGUUAUAUUAAAAUUAUUAAACUACUGAAACAUGUUAGUGGUGGUCGAAAUACUUUUACCAAUUAUAAAUAUAAAAAUUCUCACCCAACACAUAAACAAGCUUAAAAGAGAAGUAGUCAGCAAGUCCCUAAUCCUAGCAGCCCCAUUUCACUAUUACAAUCAGUUAUUACAUGCUAUCUGAAUAGAGCUUAUAACUAGAGCCUAGGAAAUCAACUAAUUGAACUUCAAACUUUGGCAGACUUCUCAUAGACUCUUUUGAGCCUUGCCCCUACCCACGACCCAAGUUCUGGCGCUAAAAUAGAUUUGAAUCCCUACAACUUUCACAAAUCACACAAGCACAUGUUUGGAUCGUUUCCUCAAGCACAUUAUAACUUUUACACAUGAAUUUCUCAUGUCGACCCUUACAAACAUAUAAGUGCAGAAAGUUUGGGAUUACUAGAUUAAUAAUACAAAUUGUGCUAUAAUAUAGGGACAUGCUCUAUAACAUUAAUAAUGUUCUGUUAAAUCAAGUAGGCUUAGAAUGAGCAUAACGUGACUAAAUAGAUUUAACACGACUUCAUAUACAUGCGAUAUUUAGUCAGUUGUAAACACAACAACAGCGCACUAGAGGGAGACUAGCCAUUUAGGAGUUAGACUUAGGAUGCUACUGAUCAUCUACUGAUGCAGGGCUGUAUCUGUUGGAUAUUAGUAUACCUUACAUCCUUUUUUCCAUCAUUUUCGUAUUUCCUAUAUUUCUUAUAUUGUUGUUAUUUUGUUAUUUUAUGUUAUAUAUUUUAUGUUAUUUACUAUGAGUCUAUUGAUAGUACUAAUAUAUUGUCUCUUGUUGCUCUCUUGAGCCGAGGGUCACCUGGAAACAGUCUCUCUGACUCUCGGGGUAGGGGUAAGGUCUGCGUACAUAUUACCCUCCCCAGACCCCACUUGUGGGAUUAUACUGGGAUGUUGUUGUUGUUGUUGUUGUAAACACAACAACUAGGUGAGGAACAUUUUAGACAUAGGCGGAUAGACAAACAGAAUAUCAACGUUCGUCAAUCCUGGAGCGUGGUGCCUAAGUGAUUGAGUAUAGCAGCAAUUUCAAGCAAUCAAAGACAUAGAAGGCAGCAUGUAUUGUUUUAGGCAGAACUUAUGAACUACUUCUUUGUGACUGGAGCCUUAGUAGACUAGUGCAGCUUUAGAGUAAACAUGAGAUCUAGAUAUAAUAGGAGAUGUUCAAAUGCAUAGAAUUCGACAAUACUCCUGUAAAUAUAGUAUGAUCUGAACACAAAACAACAGGUUCUCAAAAGCUAACAAUCCUAGGAUCAUAUUUUCUUGUGUAGGUAGAGAUCACAGAACUUAAGCACAAAACACAUAGAACGAGUGAAAAAAUUGUGGAAAUAGAGAAGAAGAACUGACCUGUGCGCUGGUUGUAGCAAUUAACAAAGGCAGAUUCAAUUCUUUGGUUGUUAUCACCUAAGGCUUGCCUAAGCAUUUAGGAGAGAUCAUAUAGACAUGGUAUCUAUUCAGAAUGAAGCGAAACAGUAACAAUUGAAGACGAACGAUUUGGAUCCUAUAGGCAUGCUUUCUAAACCGCGUUAAAGUAAAGAGUAAGGUUGUUUAAAACUGAUUCAGAGUCAAACUGAUUUUAAAUUGGUUUCAGAUCCUAUAGGCAGGAUAUCUAGUGUUGCUCAUUUUAAUUCCUAUAGACAUGAUAUCUAGUCGAGCGUGAAUUGAAGCAUGUAGUAUCCCUAUAGGCAUGAUUUCUAUGAAAAGGGGUACUGGAAAUAAUAUCUGAUUUUUAGCCCGUUAGUUCCUAAGCAUGGUGUUUAAGUGUGAAAAUGCAGAAACUAACACAAGUCCUAUAGACAUGUUCUCUAAAUGCGGAAUUCAAUAUGCAGAAUUUAGGUCCUAUAGCCAUAUUCUCUAAAUGUAGAGCAUUCAGGAAUUUAAUGAAAUUGGAUCUUAUAGGCAUGACAUCUAGAUGUCGAAUUAAACAUGCAGAACAACAGAUGAUAUUUAAAUUGCAGAAUUGAACAUGCAGAGCUUUAGAUCCUAUAGACGUGAUAUCUACCCUUGAGCAUACAUAAUUACCCAGCCCCUUUCACUAGCCAAGCCCCCAAAUAUUUAUUACAAAAUUAUUAUAGACUAGAUAAUGAAUUACAUCAAGGAAGCACAAAAGAAAAGUUACAACCAGAGGAAGCCUGAUUCUUGACUUCCUCUUGAGUUAUGGAAUAAACCACCUCAAAUGCCAUUGUUUCAAAGCCUUUCUCAGACUUGAGUGUGUCAAAGUUCCCUAAGGGUCUCAAGAGGACCCCGGGAAGUGCUCACACCCAAGUUGCAUCACCAAAUAGAGAUGAGUGCAGUAUGGAAGGGCCAACCCUUAUGUGUCCAAGUUCAGAGAGAGCUCAUGGAUCCCAAGGCAAGGCUCACACAAGAGGGGCAAAACUUAAAUCUAAGAAUAUGGUAGAAGUGCAUGAGUAGAGAUUUAGAAAUGAGUGGAGAAUGGAGAGGGGAGAGGGGUGAGUUGAAAACAGUAACAGUAGAGGUAAAAUCACAGAAUCAGCAAUUGCACGAAGGGGUCAGGGGUUUGGGAAAUACAUUGCAAGGAGCAUAUAUCCUUAGGUAGGGACCAAGUUUGGGCAUGCACAGUAAUAGAUGGUGCUGUCAUGCCUAUAAACCAACCAGAACACGCAACAUAUAAAGGGGAUAUGGAGGUUAUGAUCCCAGGGAAUCAGUUUUGGGUCAUGCACAACAAUGUUCAAUGUUGUCAUGCCCCAAACCAACCAAAGAUACCAAACACAUAGGGGAUGUGGAACAUAUGACCCAGGGAGGGUCAGGUUUAGGUCAUGCACAGCAAUGUAUGAUGCUGACAUGCCCUCAAACCAAUAUACAAACACAUAGGGGGUAUGUGGUAUUGAGGUUCAUACAUGAGAAAACAUUAUUUAAGAAAAAGGAAAGGACAAAUCAUAGCAUGCUUGAUAAUGAAACUCGAUUAAACAUAAGCAGGAAACAGGUAAAAGUGAAGGAAUUAGUAAAGAAACAUGUUGUUGUUGAUGCUAGAAGAGUAAUUAGGACAUACCAGUAAAGAAAGCAAAUGCAGAAAGAAAAAGUAGGCAAGUUUCUCAUAGCCUAGCCUUGACUUUCAGCCGGCUAGACAAGGUAGCAACACAAGUAGUAAAAGAGAAAAGAGAGAGAGUUUGAGUGAACUGUGUGUUUUUGAACUUAAUUGGUUCGUGUCUUUGAAAGAAUGGGGGUGCAGGGUAUUUAUAGUUUUUUAAAAACGAGUGAAGGAAAAGUAAUAAGAUACAAACGUGGAAACAAUCAUAGGUUAGAAUUAAUUACACGGGUGAUUCUUUAAUUAAGGAAUCAUUGUUUAACAGAUUCAAAUAAGGAAAGAGAUCAGUUUAGAUACAGACUGAUUAUUUCUAUAAAAGCAGUAGUAGAAGCAUUCAGUAAGUAAUCAAGUUUAAGUACAUAAUAUACUUAUUUUGGAAAUAGAUUCAGCAAGGUAAAUAUUACAAUAAAGGGAAAAAAAUCAAUCAAUUUUGAACGGGCGAGUGAAAUCAGGGUUCAUAAAAGGGAAACUUUAGAAAUCAGUCACAAGGUGAAGAUUAAUCAAGGAAAAAAUUUAAGCAUAUAAAUAAAGUGAACAGGGUCAUCAGACAUGCGAGGCCAAACAAAAGAGAUAAUCACAAACAUGCAAUAGGCAGAAAUAAGCUAGUAGUAAAGCAAACCAUUCGAAGCAUAUUAAUCAAGUAGGUCAAGUCACAUUAAAUCAAUAGUGAAGAAAAAAUAGAGUAUCAGAAGCAUGCAAAGAUCUCACAGUAACAAAUGAGAAACCUUUUUAAAAGUUAGGGUUUCAAACAUAGUCAAGUUUUAAAGAUACUAGAAACCCAUAGUCAGAGGAAUCACAUAAAGGAAAAGGGAUUCUGAAACAAGGAACUUCAAAUCGAGUUAGGCAUUUAAACAAACAGUUUCAGACCCAAAGCCACCGGGUUUUCAACAAUAGUCGAGCCCUAAAAAUAGAUCAAACAAAACUUAAACAAACAAACACUCAUCUAAGAAACAGCUUUUAGAACUCGAUUGAGACCCACACGAAUUUAGGGUUUUCAACAACAACAAGUUCAAAAGUUGGUAAACAGACGAGUCAAGCAAGAUUUUAAACAAACAAAUGCACAUCUUAAACAUAUUAAAAGUCAGAGAAGAGAUUUUGAAAUAACNNNNNNNNNNNNNNNNNNNNNNNNNCCAGAAAAGAUGAGAAAGGAUUCGAAAGUUACCGAUCUACCCAGAAGAGUCAAAGGUUUGACUCGAAUGACCAUGGCCGGCCGGAGAAAGGUAAAAGAUGAUCGGAGAAGGGCCACGAACUAAAAUCGAAUGAAGACUGGACUAGAGCUCUUCAUAGUCUAGCCUUGAAACCAUAAGGACAGACACAUAGGAGCCAGGGAAUGUUGGUACAGGUCUUCAAUGACCUCGAAAGGCCAUAGAUUAGGGUGGCGGUGGCUAGGGUUUGAGUGGUGUUGUAGAGAGUGUUUGAGAGGAAGGGGAUUCUAAG